rnacentral:rRNA from 1 species
AGAGUUUGAUCAUGGCUCAGAUUGAACGCUGGCGGCAUGCUUACACAUGCAAGUCGAACGGGCAGGCGCGGGGGGCAACCCUGGCGGCGAGUGGCGAACGGGUGAGUAAUGCAUCGGAACGUAUCCUGUAAUGGGGGAUAACGUAGCGAAAGUUACGCUAAUACCGCAUACGCUCGAGAGAGGAAAGUGGGGGAUCGCAAGACCUCACGUUAUAGGAGCGGCCGAUGUCCGAUUAGCUAGUUGGUGGGGUAAAGGCCUACCAAGGCGACGAUCGGUAGCUGGUCUGAGAGGAUGAUCAGCCACACUGGGACUGAGACACGGCCCAGACUCCUACGGGAGGCAGCAGUGGGGAAUUUUGGACAAUGGGCGAAAGCCUGAUCCAGCCAUGCCGCGUGCGGGAAGAAGGCCUUCGGGUUGUAAACCGCUUUAGUCCGGGAAAAAGGGGUGCGAGGAUAAUACCCUCGUGCUUUGAUGGUACUGGAAGAAUAAGCACCGGCUAACUACGUG